CGUUUCUCUACGCCAUGGGGAAAGAGGCGGAAGAUAUCUUUGCGUCACUGAAGCUGACAGGCGCCGAAAUGACGAACUACGCUACCGUCAAACGCAAGUUCGAGGAGCACUUCAUACCAUGUACGAACGUUAUCUUCGAGAGGGCAAGGUUCAACUGCCGUGUAGCAACCCAGUGAACCGAUCGAAGCGUUUAUCACGGACCUACGCAAACUAGCAGAGGCUUGCGAAUACGGUGAACUUAAGGACGAGCUCAUCCGCGACCGUCUCGUGGUCGAACUCUUGGACUGAGCGAGAAGAUGCAGCUCGAUCCCAAGCUGACGCUGCAGUCAGCGACGAAAUUGGCGAGGAACUCUGAGGUGGUGAAGCAGCAGCAAACAGAAACGCGCCGCAAGAAGCACCCCACCGUUGCUGUCGACGAGGUCAGAAAGUCAGGCCACGGUAAGGGCAUCCAGAAAGGAACAAAAACUCCGUCUCGAGCACCUCCUUGCCGUCUACGCACCGCGAAAAGCGACGACGCCGGACGCUGUCGGUGGUGCGGAGGGGCCCGCAACCACACGAAAGCGCAGUGUCCAGCCGCGGACAAGACGUGCAAUAGCUGUGGGAAAAAAGGCCACUUCGCAGCAGUCUGCCUCUCAAGUGCGCGCAAGAGUGACAUGCCCAACCGUUCGUCCGAGCAUAGACAGUGCAUGGAAGAAUUGCAUCUCGGUGAGGUGCGAAGCACGACACCUAACGAGCCUUGGAGAGUGAGGGCAAUGGUGAACGGCACACCUCUCAUAUUCAAAGUUGACACAGGUGCCGAUGUCACUGCAGUGCCAUUUAAGGACUACCACAGAGGCACCAUGGGACCUUUGAAAACAACAAACCAGGCGCUGACUGGCCCAGGUCAAGUGCCAAUCGACACAGCAGGCUACUUUAGGGCCAUGGUAGAAUGGCGAAACACAAGAGUACAAGAGAAAGUCUUCGUCAUCAAAUGGCUGAGAGAAGCUCUUCUCAGUCGUUCAGCAGCAGAGUCACUGGGCAUCGUGCAACGGCCACUGGAGUUGGCAGAAACGCAAGAGUGUGACAUCCCUGACAUUCUAGCACAGUACCCCAAGCUGACAUCAGGACUCGGGUUGAUGGAGACCACAUACCACAUCAAAGUGACCAGCGACACCAAGCCCUACGCAGUCAGCUACCCAAAGCGAGUGCCUAUUCCUCUUCUCCCUCUCGUCGAGACAGAACUCAGAUGGAAGACCUCGGCGUCAUACAGAAGGUGGAACAAGCGACAGAGUGGUGCUUCCCAAUGAUGAUUGCAAAAAAAAAGGAACAACGAACUGAGGAUAUGUGUUGACUAUGGCCAGCUAAACCAGCAGAUUGUUCACGAACACAUGCUGAUGCCUACAGUUGAAUGCCUUGCUAAACUAGCCGGUGCAAAAGUCUUCAGUCGCUUAUGAUGACUGAGGGGCGCGAAAAAACGGCACACAACGAAAAGAAGUACACGAUACAGUCGCUUAGACCCACGUGCAGGCUACUGGCAAGUGCCUCUCUCCGAAGACUCAUGCGAGUUCAUUACUCCAUUUGGGCGGUUCCAGUUCCUCAGACUGCCCUUCGGCAUUUCUACGGCACCAGAAUUCUACCAGCGUGAGAUGCUCAGAGUCUUAGAGGGACUGGAUGGACUGACAUGCCUGCAGGACGACAUCAUAGUGUCCGGUAGAACAGUCAGAGAACAUGAUGCAAAUCUUCAUAAAGUGCUGAGUCAGCUUUCAAAGGCAGGCAUCGUGCUCAACGUCAACAAAUGUGCUUUUCGACAGAGCGAGGUCAAGUUUCUGGGACACAUUGUUUCCGCAGAAGGCAUCAGGGCUGACUCAGACAAAGUGGAAUGGAGGCCAUCACACAAAUCGAUGCGCCGAAGGAUACGUCCGAAGUCAGUUCAUUCCUUGGAUCAGCAAACCAUCUGGCAAAGUUUCUUCCAGGUCUUGCCGACAUGACUAAGCCACUGAGAGACCUCAUGUGUGCAGAUGCCAAGUGGUACUGGGGCCCAGCACAACAGCAAAGCUUUGAAAGCGUAAAGCAGGCACUAAGUGCAACACCAGUCCUUGUGCACUAUGACUAUGACACAAGAAGCCCACACACACUGUUGGUGGAUGCAUCGUCUUAUGGCUUAGGUGCAGUUCUCCUACAGCAGUUGCACGAAAACCUGCUACCAGUCGCGUAUGCCUCACGCUCGCUCACCGAGACAGAACAGAGAUAUGCGCAAAUUGAGAAGGAAGCCCUAGCCAUCACUUGGGCAUGUGAACACUACCGCAAGCGCCCCUUCUUGGCUCAUCAUUUCACAUUGAGACAGAUCAUAAGCCCCUGGUUUCUCUGCUGACAACCAAGCGCAUGGAUGAACUGAGCCCAAGACUGCAACGUUUUCGCAUGCGCCUUCUUGAGUAUGACUAUACGAUCUCUUGCACACCAGGGAACAAAUUGUUCACAGCUGACCUGUUGUCUCGGAAGCCACAGCAGCACCCUGCUGCUAAAGGCGUCGACAGAGACAUCGAAAGCGCCAUGGAGGUGUUUGAAGCGCUAACCCUGGAGCAGCUAUCAGCAUCAGAGCACAUGCUGGAAAGGAUCAAGCUCAGCGUCCAAGCGGACACCACAUUGAGUACAGUGGUGACCCUAUGCACUACAGCAUGGCCUCCUGUACAUGGCCUAGCACCAGAGCUCAAGCGCUAUGCAGAAGUGGCCAGUGAACUUUCGCUAGUCAAAGGCUUGCUUUUUAAGGGUGAUAGACUCGUCAUUCCACCCAGUCUCAGACUGGAACUGCUCGAAAGACUUCACGAAGGUCACAUGGGCACAAUCUGUGUCGGGCAAGAGCAAGACAAUCCGUAUGGUGGCCAGGUAUUGGAAAAGAGAUAGAUGAAUACGUGGAAAGGUGCCAGGUAUGCCAAGAACAUAGGAAGCCUGCUACCGAACCACUUCUCCAGACACCACUGCCUGUGUAUCCCUGGGAUACCAUCGGCAUUGAUCUUUUCUCGUUGGAAGGGAAGGAGCACAUCGUGGUAGUCGACUACUACUCUAGAUUCUUCGAGCUCGAGCUACUAUGUGGCACAGCUACUAAAGACGUCAGUGUUCUGGAACCAAUCAUAGCACGAUUUGGGGUGCCAAGAACAAUUCACACGGACAAUGGUCCGCAGUUUGCCUCGUGGGAGUUCAGGCAGCUGAUGAAACGAUGGGGCACAAACCACAUAACGUCAAGCCCAUACUACGCCCAAAGUAACGGCAUCGCUAAGCGUACAGUGCAAACAGCUAAGCAGCUCCUGAAGAAAUCUCCCAACAUAAACAUGGCACUGCUGUCGCACAGAGCCACACUAACAGUGGAAGGCUUCUCACCGGCAGAACUUCUAAUGGGACACCGCAUCAACACAACUCUGCCAUCGACCACCAAAAUGCUUCAGCCGAAGUGGGACGACAGUGAAUUCAGGCGCAAGAACGAAGCAUACAGAUGCCAAGUCCGCCACACCUACAACGUGCAACACGGUGCGAAGUAGAGAACGCAUCCCACCUAAACAGCUGUGCGAAUUCUGAGUGGGGCAGCAUCCCAUGGGACUGUGACAAAAGAAGCGAGUCAACCAAGAUCCUACCUGGUACAGACUUCAACAGGGCUCAUGAGGCGUACAGGCAAGCAUGUGCAACCAGUGACAAUAACAAGAACUGGACGCCUGUGUCGACCUCCAAGCCGUGUGUACCUGUAGCCUGCCCUUCCGAAGAAAGGGGGGUGUCAUGGACUACCAACCACGGCGACACCACGCGGCAAACGGUGGCGCGGGCGAAAGGCAACACUUGGACUCAGCGCGGGAAAAAGAAGGUGUGUAUACGUGUAUGGUAGCCUUUGGCCAUCACGAGAGCGUGCGAGUGGCGACUACUGUUCACCGACGGCUUUCUACUUUUCCUUCUGGCUGCACACCGGCCUGUUCAUCUUCCUGGGACUCUUGCUUGUCAUCUCUCAGCUGGGAGUCCUGUGCAAGUGCCGCUGACAUGACCUAACCACUGUACAUAUCAUUCCGUCUUCUUUUCACAAUGAAUUAAAUUCAUACUUUAAUGAGCA